UACGUAGGGUGCAAGCGUUAAUCGGAAUUACUGGGCGUAAAGCGCACGCAGGUGGCUGAGAAAGUCGAUUGUGAAAGCCCUGGGCUUAACCUGGGAAUUGCAGUCGAAACUACUCGGCUAGAGUAUGGGAGAGGGUAGUGGAAUUCCGGGUGUAGCGGUGGAAUGCGUAGAGAUCCGGAAGAACACCGGUGGCGAAGGCGGCCUGCUGGGCAGUAGCUGACGCUGAGGCGCGACAGCGUGGGGAGCAAACAGGAUUGAGAAACCCCUG
rnacentral:rRNA from 1 species